rnacentral:rRNA from 1 species
AACGAACGCUGGUGGCAUGCCUAACACAUGCAAGUCGAACGAGACCUUCGGGUCUAGUGGCGCACGGUUUCGUCACGCGUGGGAACCUGCCCUUAGGUUCGGAAUAACUCCCCGAAAGGGGUGCUAAUACCGGAUAAUGUCUUCUGACCAAAGAUUUAUCGCCUUUGGUUGUGCCCGCGUUGGAUUAGCUAGUUGUUAGGGUAAAAGCCUACCAAGGCGACGAUCCAUAGCUGGUUAGAGAGGAUGAUCAGCCACACUGGGACUGAGACACGGCCGAGACUCCUACGGGAGGGAGCAGUGGGGAAUAUUGGACAAUGGGCGAAAGCAUGAUCCAGCAAUGAUGCGUGAAUGAUGAAGGUAUUAGGGUUGUAAAGCGCUAUUAACCGGGAUGAUAAUGACAGUACCGGGAGAAUAAGCCACGGCUAACUCCGUG